UCCUACGGGGCGCAGCAGUAGGGAAUCUUCCACAAUGGACGAAAGUCUGAUGGAGCAACGCCGCGUGAGUGAAGAAGGGUUUCGGAUCGUAAAACUCUGUUGGUAGAGAAGAAAGAGCGAGAGAGUAACUGGUCUUGAUUUGACGGUAAUUAAUCAGAAAGGCACGGCUAACUACGUGCCAGCAGCCGCGGUAAUACGUAGGUGGCAAGCGUUAUCCGGAUUUAUUGGGCGUAAAGGGAAUGCAGGCGGUUUUUU
rnacentral:rRNA from 1 species